rnacentral:lncRNA from 1 species
ACCAAAUAUCAUAUGUUCUCACUCAUAAGUGGGAGCUAAACUAUGAGGAUGCAAAGGCAUAAGAAUAAUACAAUGGACUCUGGGGAUUCAGGGAAAGGGUGGGAGGGGGGUGAGGGAUAAAAGGCUACACAUUAGGUAUAGUGUGUACUACUUGGAUGAUGGGUGCACCAAAAUCUCAGAAAUCACCACUAAAGAACUUAUUCAACAUAAAUAUACAGACAUACACAUACAUAUAUCCUGUUCAUGAUAUAUUAUCCUGUAUAAUUGAAUUCAAUUUGCUUAUAUUUUGUACAUUUUUUUGGUUCACGAGACAUAUUGCCUAUAUCUUUUCCCUUGUAAUGUCCCUGACAGGCUGUGUUAUCAUAACUAUGCUGGUCUCAAAAGAUGAUUUGGGAAAUAAUUUAUCUUUUUCAGUUAUCUGGAGGAGUUUGUGUAAAAUUGGCAUCAUUUCCUCAUUAGUGUUUGCAAGAAUUGACAGAAUAAAUUCCUGAGUUUGUUUUCUGUAGGGAAAGGUUUUAAUUAAAUUUUUUUGUUGUUGUUGUUGUUUUUGAGACCGAGUCUCACUCUGUCGCCCACACUGGAGUGCAAUAGCACGAUCUUGGCUCACCGCAACCUCCACCUCCUGGGUUCAAGCGAUUCUCCUGCUUCAGCCUCCUGAGUAGCUGGGAUUACAGGCACCAGCCUCCACACCCGGCUAAUUUUUUUUUUUUUUUAAGUAGAGAUGAGGUUUCACCAUCUUGGCCAGGCUGAUCUCUA